GACGUAGGGUCCAAGCGUUGUCCGGAUUUACUGGGCGUAAAGAGCGCGUAGGCGGCUUGAUAAGUGUGAUGUGAAAAUCUCCCAGGGCUUAACCCGGAAACUGCACCGCAGACUGUCAGGCUUGAGGAAUGCAGAGGUAACUGGAAUUCCUGGUGUAGCGGUGAAAUGCGUAGAUAUCAGGAGGAACACCGGUGGCGAAGGCGCCUAUCUGGCCCAAUACUGACGCUGAGGCGCGAAAGCUAGGGGGAGCAAACGGG
rnacentral:rRNA from 1 species